rnacentral:rRNA from 1 species
UACGUAGGGUGCAAACGUUGUUCGGAAUUACUGGGCGUAAAGCGAGUGUAGGCGGCUCGGCAAGUCGGAUGUGAAAGCCCCGGGCUCAACCCGGGAAGUGCACUCGAUACUGCCAAGCUUGAGUGUCGGAGAGGUUGGUGGAAUUCUCGGUGUAGAGGUGAAAUUCGUAGAUAUCGAGAGGAACACCGGUGGCGAAGGCGGCCAACUGGACGAACACUGACGC